rnacentral:rRNA from 1 species
AUUGAACGCUGGCGGCAUGCCUUACACAUGCAAGUCGAACGGCAGCGCGGGAGCAACCCUGGCGGCGAGUGGCGAACGGGUGAGUAAUACAUCGGAACGUGCCCAGUAGCGGGGGAUAACUACUCGAAAGAGUAGCUAAUACCGCAUACGCCCUACGGGGGAAAGGGGGGGAUCGCAAGACCUCUCACUAUUGGAGCGGCCGAUGGCAGAUUAGCUUGUUGGUGAGGUAAAAGCUCACCAAGGCGACGAUCUGUAGCUGGUCUGAGAGGACGACCAGCCACACUGGGACUGAGACACGGCCCAGACUCCUACGGGAGGCAGCAGUAGGGAAUUUUGGACAAUGGGGGAAACCCUGAUCCAGCAAUGCCGCGUGUGUGAAGAAGGCCUUCGGGUUGUAAAGCACUUUUGUCCGGGAAGAAAGCGUCUGUGCUAAUAACAUAGGCGGAUGACGGUACCGGAAGAAUAAGGACCGGCUAACUACGUGCCAGCCGCCGCCGUAAAAC